AGUUGUGUCCAACUCUGCAUCCCCACGGACUGCAGCACGCCAGGCUUCCCUAUCCAUCACCAACUCCUGGAGCUUGCUCAAAUUCAUGCCCAUUGAGUCAGUGAUGCCAUGGGAAGCCCACGACCUUCCUCAAAUCCUGAAGCUGGACUAGGUGCCAUUCUCACAUGUUACAGCAUCACACCUUGUGAAUCUGACAAAAUGGGACCAUCCACAAUAUUUCUUGAAUCCUUCAUGUAUGAGACAUUGGGCUCUGUGUUCAGGAUAAAGGGAUGACAAAGUUGUGGUCUCUAUCCUUAAAUUGCCUCUAGUCUAAUAGGAAAAACAGACUGCACUUACAGAGUGGCUUAUACAGAAUGAUAAUAAUGGUCCAGUGAGUGCAUGGUCAGUUCUGGAAGGGAUGAGAGGAAGUAGGCUCUCAGGAUCGAGUUCUGCUUGAAUUGAAUCCUGAUGACAAGUGCUGUUUAAUCUGGUUAAAACCAAACCAUCAGCUUCUGGACUCAGAAUGACUCACUUCUGCAGCAGCUGAAGUGAUUCCUCCAAUUUUCUCGUCAUUUCCAAUUCUUUAUUGUAUUAUAUAUACCAACCUCUCUCUCUAACACUCACGGUGAAAAUAUCAAACCUAUGGCCAAGAAGGAGGAAGAGGAAAAUGGGGAAAUUGUGUCAGUGAUAGAUAUUUAUUUAUUCAGGAAAGGCAUGAGUGGACAAAGUUAUGAGUCUUGUCUGUCAAACUGCACGAUGCAUAGUCAAGUUUCUGAUUUCAGAAUUUAUAACAUGUGCUGUUUUUAUAUGUGGACUUGUUCAUAGAAGGAAAUAUGUUGAGUCCAUCCCAGUAAAAAUUUAUAACUGUUAUAUAGUUUGAAAUAUAUUUCCAUCACAUAAACCAAAUUUAUGAAGAAGUAAAGCUAGUUGAAAUAUGUUUAGUGCAUUAAAGUUCAAACAUUUCUUGUCCUGUAGGAGAGAGCUGCAGGAAAUUCUAGAAUUUGCGAGAGCAGGGAAAGACUAUAUCUCCUGAUAAGUGUGUGAGUUUCUCCUUUCCCUCUGCUUUCUGUGGCAGAAGACCCAGAUAUGCUAGGGGAUGUGAUCAGGGAAGACAUAGGAAUUACCUCAAAAACUCAGCACUGUGUACACUGUAUUUUCUGAGUGUCCAUUUUCCUGCAGUGAGUGUGUGUUUUAGGGGAGAAGACACCUACCUCUAAUUGUGAACAUAGUCGACAAUCAUGGAAAGCAGUGAAGGAAGGGCUUGCCUCCUUUGCAAUGAUCUGAUGAUAAUCUAUUGAGCAGUCUUUAUAUUCUCAGUACUUCUUCCGAAAGAUGAAAGAGAGAAACUAGUCAGUCGGUCCUAAUUCCUUCAAUGGGCUCCCAACUCUUUCAGCAAAAAUCAAAGGCCAGGAAGCCCUAUCCCGUUUAUGCUCCAACCUUUGUGUCUUCAUCUUUCACUCCUGCCCCAGCUCACUCCUCAAGUCAUCUUGGACCGUUGAACACAAAGGCAUCUUUCUGCUAAAUGUCUCUGGUCUCUCCAUCUCCAGGCUCCCUCAGCAGACACUGUUCUUAUCUCAGAUGUCAAUUUUGCCCUGAGGGGUCCCAUCACCACAGUUAAAAUUUCCAAGGCAUUGUCCCACCCCCAUCCACCUUUGUUUCAUUACUCCAUCUCCUGCUUACAAUUCCUUCAUUGCCCUUUUCACUCUAUCAUACUAUUUUAUAUUUGCUUAUCGACUCUUCCUGGAAUGUAUAGAAGGGAUAUUUAUUAUCCCACUGCUGCAUAUCCAGAGCCUGAAACCACACCUGGCACAUAGUAGGAGGUCAGGAAACUGUUUAUUUGAUGGCUAGAUUUGGUUGUUACUCUCGAGAAGUGUGACGUCAGCCCUGAGAUGAAGACUCACUGUUAAAUGGGUGAAGGCAGAUGACCUAGAAUGGGCUAACGCAUUUCCAUCCCCACUAAAUCCAGCAGAAAAUGUCCCCUAGCCAAUCAAUCCUCCUGAGCAAACAAACCUGGGAUAGUCCUUGCUGGUCCCUGUAUAAUGGGUUUAAGUUCUUUUCUAGCCUGUUCAGUUCAGUUCCGUUCAGUUCAGUUCCGUCGCUCAGCCACGUCUGACUCUUUGCGACCCCAUGGACUGCAGCACGCCAGGCCUCCCUGUCCAUCACCAACUCCCAGAGUUUACUCAAACUCAUGUCCAUUGAGUCAGUGAUGCCAUCCAAUCAUCUCGUCCUCUGGGGAUUUAGUCAAACAAACCAGUCACAUCCUUCUGUGGGAACCCCAGGGCACCUCAUCCUAUUGACACUACAAAGCCUGCCCCCCAUGCCCCUGACUGUUUGCUCUGUUACCGAGUGCAGCCCUGUGUAAUGCAGGAUGGCACAAUGUCCCUCUCCCCUGGCUGGGAGCAAAUGCGACUAAGAAAUUACUCUUGAGCCAUCUGCCCAGUGUCAGGUUGUGUGUUUGGCCGACACCAGGGUCAUAGGUGCAGGAACGCCUCCCUCACCUCAUUCAGUGUGAUGAAUAGGAUGCAAUUAAAACAAGGAGCUGCAGUAAGGCAAGACAUAUACAAGAAUCAAUAGUACAGCUGAGAGUGUCUAGGAAAGUGGUCAAUUAGGUGAUUGGUAAAAGUCCUAUGGGAGUUUUGGAAAUAUUUGCAGACAUAAAUACUUUUACCUUAGUAAACAAAGUCUUUAUGAAAAUUUGCAGUAAAGACUUUGAAAUUUGAAUAAAAAAACACUAGUCAGUGUCUUAUUUAGUGCACUUUUCUAGGUUAUCUCUGCUUCUCAUUGUCUAAGCUAUUAUACAGCUCUGUACUUGUAGAAACUGAUGAAAAUGCGUAAGACCCUUGUCCAUAGAAAUGAAAAUAAUUGAAUCCAGUGAAAUGCAAUUGUGGGUAGAUCCUCUUUGCAUCCAUUUGUAAUUUCACUUCAAAAUUCCCUAAAAUAUCUAUAUCUACAUCUCUAUCUGUAUCUCCAUAUGUAUCACCAUCCUCACAUAGAAGUUUCUAAGAAUUCUCCUUUGAACAGGCUAUAACAUUUUACUGCUUUCCUCAUUAAUUGAUGAGUUAAAUAAAAUCUGUAAUAUGCUUUCAUUUGACAUUUGUAUGAGAGGCAUGAUUUUGUCCUUUUUCUUUUUUUUAAAUAGUAUCCUUUAACAAUGUGAUUUCUACUGAAACAUGAACAAUGACUUACACUACCCUAUCCUUAUUCCUGUCAUAGCCACUCUGAAUUUUGAACAAUGUGGUAAAUUAUAAUGAAAUCAAGCAUGUGAGAUGACAAUCUCUACCUGAAAGCAAACAUCUGGAGGAAACAUGAAAAUCUCUGGCAGUCAGGAUUCAGAGACUUGGCUCCGAGUAUGCAGAACAUCUGGAUUUCUGUGAAUUGAUUAAUUUCCACCCUCUUCUACUAUUUUGGCUUCAUCCAGCCUUUGUGUUGAGCCCUUUUUCUAGCACUGUGCAAACACUGUCAUCUCUGUACAGAGAGAAUUUUUUCCUACCUGUCUCUACUUCUCCAUAUAGUAUACCUGAUAACAGACUAUUUUUACUUUACUAUUUUUACCUAAACUAUUGCUUGUAACCAUCAAAAAGACAGAGGAAAAUAAGGACUUGUUUGUAUUUAGUGUACCCGAGAAGUCACUUUAUUCUAGUCUUUAGCUAAAAGACCAUUUAUUUUUGUAGAAUUUUGUAGGUUUUCUUUCCAUGAGAGCCACUGCUUCUAAAUAUUCCAAAAACAAUACACAGAUGAACCAAAAAUAUAUAUCUGUUCAUUUGUAUGUGGGACCACAGUCAUACAAAGAGAAAAAUAAGGGGGUAAAACGUUGAAGACUCAUGAUAUUCUUUAAAAAGUACCUAGAUACAUCACACAAACUCAAGGUCAUGACUAGGGAGAAAUGUGAUGGAACCAAAAAUAUACCUGGACCUCAGAGUACAGUGUUACCUUCACAUAGGGACCUACCUGGAACAGUGAUUCUAUGGGGUCAAACUAAAUUGUGAAAUCAACAACUUCCAUUUUUAUUUUUUUACCAAAUACUUACCACUUGGCAAAUCUUCCAACAACAACCACCAUCAAAUCCCAAAGAGCACGGAAAGAACCAGUGCAGUGGGUUGUCCCAGUUUAUAUUCGGUUUUGUCAAUUUGACCUUCACAGGUCUGUAAUUAUUGUAAUCACAGCCUGCUGAACCUGCUAACAGUCAAAGAAUUCCAGUUGGCACCAUUCAACAAUAGCCUUUGUAAUCGGGAUAAAACCAUGCCAGAAAGGCUGACUGCUUCACUUGCAGCCUUUUCUGAAGACAUUGAAUAAUAAGGAAUAGGUGUCAAGCAAUUUACUUCCUAAGAAACUGGCUGUGCAGAGAGUGACCCAACUCUCACUUAGAGAACAGUCACAUGGCCAGAAUGAGGGCCGCCUGCACUCUGUGGCCGUGAUUCCUCCCACGUUGCCCAACAUGUGGACAAAGUAUCAUUUACUUUUCAGAUAUUCAUUUUGAAUACCCAGCAGAGCCAAUGACAUUUUCAAAGGUUGAAAAGAAUCAAUAAAAUCACUCAAUUUGAGAUAGCCCCAAAUGCCUUGCCAGUGUAAGGGACUUUCCCCACUACCACCAGAAUAAUAAGGAAAACUGUACUGAAUUACAAGUACAUUAACCUCACGGUUGCACUGCUUUAUUUUUGGUCAUUGUUUCCUUCCACUGAUUGCCACAGAUUUAUUCUGAAUUAUCUAUGACAUAUUUCUCAACACUUUGGACCAAAAUGGACAUUAAUAAGAUUCUGACUAAGGUUAAAAUAGUCUUUGGUCAUGAAACAAACUUUGUGGUUCAUGUUUGUGUGAGUGUUUUGGAUUUCAUAAUUUGUUUUAUUAUGAAUUAUAAACUAAAAGUUUGUAGUUGCACAAUUGCAAAAUAUCAAGGCUGAAAGAAAUUAGAAAAUACAUGGCCUGUAUCUUCCCCCUGCCCUUUUUUUGGCCAAAGGACCCCUUUUAACAAGCUAAAUCAGUAUAUAAAAUUAGAUAAAAGCAGAGCUUCACUAAGCCCAGACACCCAGAAUCCCACCUGCCACAUGUCCCUUUUAUAACCUGUCCUUGGACCCCAGUAAAGCAGAACUCCAAGGCUCCAUGGAACACAGUUUGAAUACUUGUGGCUUAUCCAAGGUUCCAAAGUCUACAGAUAAAAGGGUUUAGCCAAGGUCACCCCUGACUCCUGGAGUCACCUUUCUCUGACCAAGUGAGUCAACAACAAAUAAGCACUAAACGUAUUGCAAUUCCUUAUCGCUGAUUCCGCCCCUCCCCCCCCCCCCCCCCGCCAGCUAUCUUCAUCUGGAUUUUACUCCAAUAGGCAACUCAGUACUUUCCUUGUUACAUUGGAUCCAGUGAUGCAGGACUAGUGAGACUGGCAGUGUAACUACCCAAAGUGGAGUGAACCUUUGUCAGGAAAAAAAGAGGAUGCUCGCAGAACUGAUGCCACAAAAAUGAGAUCCUCUUCUCAUGGAGGAAUCCCAGUAGACACACACAAUGGCCAUGUCCAGGGAGAGAAAUAAGCUCUGCAAAGCCCCCACUCUCUCACCACCAGAGAGCGGUAUGUUCUGGGCCCAUGAGAACAUUGCAAACUUGCAUGGUCCUCUGCCUCUGUCAGAGGGUAUGGAAGAUUUCCCUGCUUGCUUGGGCCGCUCAGAUUGUUAGCAGUCUCACAAGCAUGGUGAGAGUGAAUUCUCUGGAGACCUUACACUGUUAUCAGGAUUCAUCCCUUAUGUACUGUCAAGGCAGACAACAGCUGGGGCCACCGGAACAAGAAAGUUCUAGGCCUGAGUCCAGGAGAGACAUUAAACCAGGAGCAGACAGGCAUAAAGUGAAUGAAAAAUAUCAGAAUGGAGAAGCCACAUGGAGGACAGGUAAAACUCUUAUUUAUUGAUCAACUGUUAUGCAACACUCCUUUUGCCAGGUCCUCUCUUCAUGCAUUUCGAGGGUAAAAUAACCAAACAUGAGAGUCACUGGCAGUGCCUGGGGUACACAAGGAUCACAGAGAAGCCACCCAGCUUCUGGGUUCUGGGUCUGUGUGGCAUCCUUUACUGCAAAGUCAGUUCAAAGGACGAUGGUAGCAAGAAGAUGAGUAAUGGUAGUGAUCUGAGAUUCACAAUUCAGAGGCUACAAAGAGAAAUUCCUAGGAGAGUCUUAUUUAUGUCCCUCAAGAACAUUGAUAAUUAAUCAAAGGCAAAAGAGCAGGGUACCCUCAGGUCCCAGCUCUUGGUACAUUGUUAAAUUACCACCAUUUAACCUCUAAGGACCAACUGUGACCUGCAAUUUGUAAGCCAGAUUCAACACUUUUUUUGGGGGGGUGGGCAGUGGGUAGGAUGAGUGAGUCAAGAUAAAUUGAUCUUUGGAAUGAGUAAAAUCUUCAGUGCUUCUAAAAUAUCAUUUAAGAAGUCAAAAAAAUAAAUUAUAUUAUUCUGAGCAAAUAGUAGACUUUAUUUAUCAACCAACCUUUCUAUAACUAUCUAAUAUCCAAGUUAUCCAAAGGGAGCAAAUAGUUAUGAAUAUCAUAGGUAAUAUAACAUUCUACUUCUAACAGUCUAAAGUCCAUAUAUUAAUCACUAAUUGGGGCUACUGUGUUUGUCUGCAUUAUCUCAGAGUUGUGGGCAAGAGGAAUGAGGAAAACUGAUGUAAGGAGUGAGGAGAAAAAAUUUAAAUACUAAGCCAUUCCGCUAACAAAAUGCUCAAGCUGUCUAGCGUAAUUUGGGUGCUUGGUGAAUCACUGCUUAGCAAUUCAUGAACACUGUGGGUGCCUGGAAUUCAAUUCUAUUGUCCUCGAGCUGAAUUGCUUUGAAAAAGGUCACAUGAGAGGGAGAGGAAGUUUUGACUUUCACAUGCCAGUUAUUGCUAAGGAAACCACUUCCUCAGUAUUCACAGAUUCAGCAUGUCUGCAGUUUUGGCUUCCAUACAGAUUACAUUUUGGUGCCACAUUAAGAAACAAGGGUGGAAAGUAUUUUAAGAAGUCAACUCAACUAUGACAUGUUCACAGAACAAUAAGAGGAGCCUUCUCAGAUGCCUUUCUUUUCAGAAGCACUCUAGGUAAGCCUGGGUGAAGCUUCCAGGAUCUGACAGGAUGUUUGAGGUUCAAGGAGCACGCCUGUGAUGGCCAAAAACAAAUGAGAAGGCCUCAGGGACCAAAUCAGAUGGAGGGAGGACUCAUGAUUUGGAAGCUGGGGCAGCUGAGACAGAGGGAGAUGAGGGAAUCCUGAUUGAUGGAGUGACCACCCUCUUGCUGUGCCAGGAGGAUAAGAGAGCCCUUGGCUCUUGAAACCUCUUCUCAUGUAUGAUACAGAUCACUUUUUAAUGCUUCAUUGACCAAGUGAAUCCAUCCAUCUUUUCUGAGGCCAACUGAUUUUUCUAAAAUACAAGUCUGAUCAUGUCAUCAAUGAAUCAGCUCUGGGACCAAGUUACCAUCAGGAAAGAGUCUGCCCCAUGGCCUCCGAGCCUGCGGUCAUGACCUCUCCAAGCCAGUCACCCAGGGGAUGCCACUUGCAUACACUCAUGCCACUCACCCCCAUGCCCUCCUGGCUGCUGCUUGGCAGCAUCAAAGCUACACUUGAAUUGCCUCCGCUGCCAAAUCCCAUUUGUUUGUUCUCCAUCCAGGCACCCGACUCCUCACCUCCCGGCCUUUUCCAGCCUUGCUCUUCUGCGUUAGCUGCAUGGUUAUUUCCUGACUGUGGUUUUUUUUUUUUUUUUUUUUUUUUAAAUUUGCUCUGAGCUCUGUCUUGGCAAGCUCUGACUGCCACUUGCUUCCUGGCUGCUGACUCACUGCUCUGCUCUGUCCUUUGCUGUGGGGGACCCUCCGGAUUCUUGACCAUGUGGCCCCCUGCCUCACUGGGACUCCUGGCACCAGGAUGUCCUCAGUUCUGACUCAACCAGACACUUUUCAUUUUUCAGAGCUCCUUUACUGGUGUACUGCUUUACUCGACAAUCCUAGGACUGUGAUUUGUGCUAUGCAGACCUGCUGACAUUUUGUGGGAUCACAAAGAGUCAGACACAACUUAGCAACUGAGCAACAACAAAAGCUAUGGACAGUUGUCUGAGAAAUCAAAUGACCCCAUGGCAGUACCCAUCCACAGACAGACUUGGGCAAGAAUCAGUCCUUGCCCACCACUAACUAUGAAAAUUUGGGCAAUUACUGAUUUUGCUUUUGGCCAUGCCAUGCAGCACGCAUGAUCUUCCCCAACCAGGGAUCAAACCCAAGAUGUCUGCACUGGAAGCAUGGAGUUUUUAACCACUGGACCACUGGGGAAUUCCUCAAUCUUUCUGAGAUCCUUUUCACCAUAAGAUGGAGAAGAUAUAAAACCCACUUCAGUGAACAAUGGUGUAAAUUUUUUUUCUUUUUAUUAUUAUUAUUUUUUUUAUACUUUACAAUAAUGGUGUAAACUUAAAUGAAAAAAAAUCACAUAAAGCCUUUAGCGGUGAUAUUUUAUAUGUAGCAAAAGCUCAACAGAACUCAUUAUUAAUGCUAUUUUUGGACUAUGUCCCAUGGUUUAAGGGGUGUCAGAAACAAGUUCUUAAUCUCGCUAAAGUCAGAUCCAUGUAUAUGUGAAUAUUAAGUGUGCCCACAGAAAAGAAACACCUGCAGUGUUUGUCUAAUUGCUUUGGACUCCUCAGAGAACUGGAUGGAGCUAUGGAGGGUCAAACAUACCUAAUUAGAGAAUCAACAAAUCCUGAAUAGGUGCCAUAUUUAGAGGGAUGGUUUGACUUCUCAAUACAAUAAACUGGCUGGAGGAAGAUGGGAAAGGGGGAGACGAGGAGCAUCACUUCAGCACAUUCCUGACUUUAACUUGAGAGAUUCUUCACGCAGAGAAAUUUCUCUCAUUCUUCUGGACUCUGAAGUGAGAAAUAACACAAUCAAGCCUUUAUGAGCACUUGUUUUGUACCAGGCUCUGUCCACUUAAUCCUUGCACAGCCCUAUGAGAGUGGGGAUAUUUUAUCACUCACAUUUUAGAUAAAGGACAACUGAAAGCACAGAUUGUCCCUGUAACUUGCCCAAGGUCACAUGGCUGGGGCACUGGUAGUGUGAUUUAAAUCUAGGUACAUUUACUUCAGCCCUUAUUUCCAAUGCUCUACUACAAGGCUGCAUAGUAGAAAGAGUUUUUGAGUCACAUAUGCAAAUAAAAUGCUUUCCUAGUCACAUUUCGAAAAAGGAAACAGGUACCAUGAAGUUUUAAAAUUUAUUUGAUUGAAGGAUAAUUGAUUUACAAUGUUGUGUUAAUUUCUGCUGUACAGAAAAGUGAUUCAGUUAUAUCUAUACGUGCGUGUGUGUGUGUAUUAGGCUUCCCA